ensembl:lncRNA
ACUGACCCCUUACUUUCUCUCCCUGGGUUGUGAGUAUGUUGUGUGUGUAUGUGGAGGGGGAAUGUGUAUGAAAGGAAUCCUGGGCUUUCUGCACUUGGAUGUCAUCUGGUUGCAGAGGCAUCUUCUGAGCUGUCUAUCUUCCACCAGGUUCUUGAUCAGACACUGAUGCAGAUUUUCACGGGAACGGCUGGGGGAUUGCCUGAGGCUCCAUCUGCUUAGAUUUGCAGUUCUCAGCCCCCCUUGAACAGAAAGACCACCUGAGGAGCUUUAAAGCUACAAGUACCUGGGAAAGGGAUCUCACAGUGCAGUCCAGAAGCAGCAAUAUUCAGCCUUACCUGAUGACUGAUUAGAAACUGAAAUUCUAGUUGCUAAGUCGUGGCUGACUCUUCUGAGACCCUACGGACUGUAGCCCGCCAGGCUCCUCUGCCCAUGGGAUUUCCCAGUAUUGUAUGGAAGUGACUCUUUUAUUAUUUAUCAUCCUCACCCAAGAGAAAACCAACCUCCCAGAAGUGAUAUGACUGAUUGUUGGACCACAAUAAAUUAGCUAGUCUGACAGAUGGAAAAGGCAAUGACAACCCACUCCAGUACUCUUGCCUG